UACGAAGGGGGCUAGCGUUGCUCGGAAUCACUGGGCGUAAAGCGCACGUAGGCGGCUUCUUAAGUCAGGGGUGAAAUCCUGGAGCUCAACUCCAGAACUGCCUUUGAUACUGAGGAGCUCGAGUCCGGAAGAGGUGAGUGGAACUGCGAGUGUAGAGGUGAAAUUCGUAGAUAUUCGCAAGAGCACCAGUGGCGAAGGCGGCUCACUGGUCCGGUACUGACGCUGAGGUGCGAAAGCGUGGGGAGCAAACAGG
rnacentral:rRNA from 1 species